GCCUCCUUAGCUCAGUGGUAGAGCAGCAUACUUGUAAUAUGCAGGUCAUCGGUUCAAUCCCGAUAGGGGGCU
rnacentral:tRNA from 4 species